rnacentral:lncRNA from 1 species
AGUAUUUGGACCGUACGCGUACGGUCCAGCUGACCAGACAUGAUUUGAGAUCAUAUGGGUUAAUCUUUAAACAAUCAUUUAUCAAAAUCUUUAUUUUUAGUUAUACAAAUUGUUAUUAUUACAAAUAGAUGGAUGAAGUAAAUAAGUGAACAAUUGACAUUAAAUAUUUGUUUAAUUGUAUAUCUGAAUCCUAUUUUGUUACUCUGGCC